UACAGAGGUCCCGAGCGUUGUUCGGAUUCAUUGGGCGUAAAGGGUGCGUAGGCGGCGGAGCAAGUCUGAUGUGAAAUCCCGGGGCUCAACCCCGGAACUGCAUUGGAUACUGCUUUGCUAGAGUACUGGAGAGGGAACUGGAAUUUACGGUGUAGCAGUGAAAUGCGUAGAGAUCGUAAGGAAGGCCAGUGGCGAAGGCGGCUCACUGGCCCGGUACUGACGCUGAGGUGCGAAAGCGUGGGGAGCAAACAGG
rnacentral:rRNA from 1 species